GAUGAACGCUGGCGGCGUGCCUAAUACAUGCAAGUCGAGCGAACAGACGAGGAGCUUGCUCCUCUAACGUUAGCGGCGGACGGGUGAGUAACACGUGGAUAACCUACCUAUAAGACUGGGAUAACUUCGGGAAACCGGAGCUAAUACCGGAUAAUAUAUUGAACCGCAUGGUUCAAUAGUGAAAGACGGUUUUGCUGUCACUUAUAGAUGGAUCCGCGCCGCAUUAGCUAGUUGGUAAGGUAACGGCUUACCAAGGCGACGAUGCGUAGCCGACCUGAGAGGGUGAUCGGCCACACUGGAACUGAGACACGGUCCAGACUCCUACGGGAGGCAGCAGUAGGGAAUCUUCCGCAAUGGGCGAAAGCCUGACGGAGCAACGCCGCGUGAGUGAUGAAGGUCUUCGGAUCGUAAAACUCUGUUAUUAGGGAAGAACAAAUGUGUAAGUAACUAUGCACGUCUUGACGGUACCUAAUCAGAAAGCCACGGCUAACUACGU
rnacentral:rRNA from 1 species